GGUGAAGAAACUGAAUAACUUCUGGGGGAAUGCUGCAGAAUGAUGUUGGAAUGAGUUGAAUUACUUGAAAAAUGUAGAAAUUAGAGGUGAAAAACGAAAUUUUGGAAAAUUGUGUGUGAAGGCGAAGAGG